UCGAGAAUUUUUCACAAUGGGCGAAAGCCUGAUGGAGCGACGCCGCGUGGGGGAUGAAUGGCUUCGGCCCGUAAACCCCUGUCAUUUGCGAACAAACCUUUCUACCUAACACGUGCAGAGCUGAUUGUAGCGGAAGAGGAAGGGACGGCUAACUCUGUGCCAGCAGCCGCGGUAAUACAGAGGUCCCAAGCGUUGUUCGGAUUCACUGGGCGUAAAGGGUGCGUAGGCGGUCGGGUAAGUCUGAUGUGAAAUCUCGAAGCCUAACUUCGAAACUGCAUUGGAUACUAUUCGGCUUGAGGAAUGGAGGGGAGACUGGAAUGCUCGGUGUAGCAGUGAAAUGCGUAGAUAUCGAGCGGAACACCAGUGGCGAAGGCGAGUCUCUGGACAUUUCCUGACGCUGAGGCACGAAAGCCAGGGGAGCAAACGGGAUUAGAUACCCCUGUAGUCC
rnacentral:rRNA from 1 species